AACUCUGAUCGUUUCCUGAUCCAGCAGAAGCGGAUCAGCUGCUGGACGCUCCAGAGCCUCUGGUCCGUUAAAGGGUCCAGAUCAGAGUUGAAACUGUCUGUGCACCAAGUGUCAGCUGUGCUUUAUCACAGUCUGGACAGAAACCAGCAGACUGCUCUCUGAUCUUAUCAAGACGAGGGUGAGGAGGGAAUCUGACAUAUUAACUCAGUUAAGUUUUACUGGUUUUGUUUU